GGGGGGGGGGGGGGGCGGGGGGGGCGGCUGCGGGGCGGGCGGGGGGGCCCUGCUUUUGUUGGGUGCUCGAGUGGCUCACGGUGGAGUAACCCGUGAGUAACCUGCCCUUGCCUUUGGUGUAACUUCAGGCAACUGGGGCUGAUCCCGGCUAGGCGCUCCUCCUGCAUGGUGGGGGUUGGAACGUUUCGGCGGUUGGGGAUGGACUCGCGGCUUAUCAGCUUGUGUGGGGGGUAGUGGCUUAACAAUGCUUUGCCGGGUAGCCGGCCUGAGAGGGUGACCGGCCACAUGGGGACUGAGAUACGGCCCAGACUCCUACGGGAGGCAGCAGUGGGGAAUAUUGCACAAUGGGCGGAAGCCUGAUGCAGCAACGCCGCGUGCGGGAUGACGGCUUUCGGGUUGUAAACCGCUUUCGCCUGUGACGAAGCGGGAGUGACGGUAAUGGGUAAAGAAGCACCGGCUAACUACGUG
rnacentral:rRNA from 1 species